rnacentral:rRNA from 1 species
AUUGAACGCUGGCGGCAUGCCUUACACAUGCAAGUCGAACGGUAACAGGUCUUCGGAUGCUGACGAGUGGCGAACGGGUGAGUAAUACAUCGGAACGUGCCCAGUCGUGGGGGAUAACUACGCGAAAGCGUAGCUAAUACCGCAUACGAUCUAUGGAUGAAAGCGGGGGAUCGCAAGACCUCGCGCGAUUGGAGCGGCCGAUGGCAGAUUAGGUAGUUGGCGGGGUAAAGGCUCACCAAGCCGACGAUCUGUAGCUGGUCGGAGAGGACGACCAGCCACACUGGGACUGAGACACGGCCCAGACUCCUACGGGAGGCAGCAGUGGGGAAUUUUGGACAAUGGGCGCAAGCCUGUUCCAGCCAUGCCGCGUGCAGGAUGAAGGCCUUCGGGUUGUAAACUGCUUUUGUACGGAACGAAAAGUCUCUUUCUAAUAAAGAGGGAUCAUGACGGUACCGUAAGAAUAAGCACCGGCUAACUACGUGCCAGCCGCCGCAGUAAUAC